UGUUUCACUUUGGGUCGAGAAAUAUCUGUGAAAAACAAUGAUUUCUUGUCCUCCAAAAGGACACAUCUAUGUAUCUCGCAUUGUUUUACUUUAUUUUAUUUCAUUUAUGAUCCCAUUUACAAAGCCUAAAACUUACACGUAUUGGUAUGUACCACAAGCAUAUCAUGUACACACAUUUGUUAAAACUGGCUUAUAUAAUUUUCUCCCUCUCUCUCUCAGUUUCCUUUGUAAAACCAAUUUACCUACGAAACUAGUAAAUAUGUAGUGUUUCAAAGGAAGGAAGGGAGGCAGACAGGGAAGGAUUAUUAUUAAAUGAGACACAUGAGAGAGAGAGAGACUCCAAAAUUGUGACGAGAAUAACAACAUUUACAUAACCUCGGCCUUUCCUAUAAUGAUAAUAAUAAUAAUAAUAAUAAUUUCGUCCUAUUUUCCCCUUCGAUCUUAAACUUCAAAAGGUUUACAUAAAUAAAUAUAAGCACAAUACAUACAUCCACGCAUCCCAUCCGUGGCUGAAUACCAAUAUAUUCACUCACUCACUCACUAACUAACUAACUUACUUAUUUACCAGAAAUUCUAAGAAUCAAUUUAAACACAAACACACACAAUUUACUAAAUGACCAAGCAACCGUUCUUCUCCAAAGAAGUCGCCUCGAAUCGAAUGGAUUACGUUUCACUGGAACUUUUGAGUGAGAGAUGGAUCAAAAUUAUGUGUUUGUAAGUACAAUACCAUUAUUCGACGAAGGAAACACUUAUUAUUUAUCGCGGUGCCACGACGACACGGUAUAACAAUCUAGAUAGAUAUUCGCCACGUAUGUGUGCACAGAAAUUUGAAGAGGAGGUUCCAAGUAAAAUGAUCCCUCGUCUCUGGCACCUUUUUUGACACCCCCAACUACACAAAUUGUGUCAACCCCUCCUAAUCAUUCCCACUUGGGAAGUGGUAGAUGAAGGACCUCUACUCGACCGUGUGACCGUGUUUGGAGAUGUGUCAUUUUUCUUCAUACAACUGGACUCCCCUGUGCCUGCCGAAAUAGACUGAUCCGGAUCUAAAUAUCCGCUUCCUGCCAGGAUCUCUCCCUCUCUAACUUUUCGUCUGGGGGGAGUUGGACCCUUUAAGACGCGCUCUGAGGGUACUCCUCUCUUUUGCACUAUAAAGUGCCGAACGCGGCAAGUUUACGACCUUACACUUUUGACCCUAUAAAUAUUGUUGUUAUUUUCAAUAUUCUGGUUAAUCUCGUGUAACUUUUCCUCUGUAUGUAACAUGUCGACCUGGAACCAUGCAAUAUGAAACACAUUUGAAUAUCAAGAAUUCAUCUUCUAAUGGAAAUGACGGCCCCACCCAUGUCAGUCGAGGAUUUCAUUCUUCAAGCCGAGCCCGAGACAAAUGUAAUAAUUCUGGACGGGAAAUUAGAUCAACAAAAAUACCGUACGGUCUAUUUCAAGUUAGAUUACAUAAAUUGGGAUGACGAUGAAUCACUCGGUCCAGUCUGCUAUCUAUGCGAAGAAAUCAUUGAGGACAUCACGGAUUCGCUUAUAAAUAAAGGAACAACUUACUCUAUUUUCCUCAAGGACCAUUUUAACUUGGAUGACACGAAUAAAUGUGCCCUUCAAUGCGUACAUUGUUUAAAUUUUUACCACAAAAAUAAGUGUAACAUUUCCAUUUCCAAUCAAUCAUAUCUCAAUAUUUUACUUUCUAAAAAUUGGACUUGUCCGAGAUGUGUGCCUUCAUUUGUAAUUAAGCGAAAAGUUGAUGUGGUAACUAUAAAUUAUGACAAGCUAUUAUUGAAAUUAGUGAGAAUAUUGAACCACUUAUGUUAUCAAGAUACCUUUAAGCUGGAUAUUACCACCUUUCUUAUGGAAAUUCAAGUUUCAUUUAACAAACUUUUUGAUAACUUCGGUAUUGGAUAAUUUGUAAUUUAUUAAUUGACUCGUUUUAUCGGUUUUGAUUUGGAAUAUAAUAGAUAUUAACUGUUGGUGUUAUGAGAUGGUUACUCUAUAGCUGAUCUAUGAUAUACGUGUCAUUUGUGGAAAAUCAUGAUUUUGUGUAAACAGAGUUUUUAUUUUGUAAUGUGUUAUAAAUUGUUUAUUGUAUGUGUCACUUGUGGAAGAGCAUUGUUUGUAACGGUGAACUUGUUAGACACUCGAAUAAAGCUUCAAUCAAUCAAUCAAAAAAAA